rnacentral:rRNA from 1 species
GUGAGGAAUAUUGGACAAUGGGCGCAAGCCUGAUCCAGCCAUGCCGCGUGCAGGAUGACGGUCCUAUGGAUUGUAAACUGCUUUUGUACAGGAAGAAACACUCCCUCGUGAGGGAGCUUGACGGUACUGUAAGAAUAAGGAUCGGCUAACUCCGUGCCAGCAGCCGCGGUAAUACGGAGGAUCCAAGCGUUAUCCGGAAUCAUUGGGUUUAAAGGGUCCGUAGGCGGUCUUAUAAGUCAGUGGUGAAAUCUCCCCGCUCAACGGGGAAACGGCCAUUGAUACUGUAAGACUUGAAUUAUUAGGAAGUAACUAGAAUAUGUAGUGUAGCGGUGAAAUGCUUAGAGAUUACAUGGAAUACCAAUUGCGAAGGCAGGUUACUACUAAUGGAUUGACGCUGAUGGACGAAAGCGUGGGUAGCGAACAGGAUUAGAUACCCCAGUAGUCC